GUCUAUGGCCCUACUACCCUAAAAAACUUGCCCAAUCUCCUCUGGUCUCAGAAGUUAAGCAGGGUCAAGCCUGAUUAGUAUUUGGAUGGGAGACAAAUCUUCAAAAGACUGCUUAGAGA
rnacentral:rRNA from 1 species